GAUGAACGCUAGCGGCAGGCUUAAUACAUGCAAGUCGUGGGGCAGCAUGAGUAGCAAUACUUGAUGGCGACCGGCAAACGGGUGAGGAACACGUACACAACCUUCCUUCAAGCGGGGAAUAGCCCAGAGAAAUUUGGAUUAAUACCCCAUAAUAUAUUUGAUAAGGCAUCUUAUUAAUAUUAAAGCUUCGGCACUUGAUGAUGGGUGUGCGGCUGAUUAGAUAGUUGGCGGGGUAACGGCCCACCAAGUCUACGAUCAGUAGCUGAUGUGAGAGCAUGAUCAGCCACACGGGGCACUGAGACACGGGCCCGACUCCUACGGGAGGCAGCAGUAAGGAAUAUUGGACAAUGGACGAAAGUCUGAUCCAGCCAUGCCGCGUGAAGGAUUAAGGUCCUCUGGAUUGUAAACUUCUUUUAUAUGGGACGAAAAAGGGCAUUCUUGUUCACUUGACGGUACCAUAUGAAUAAGCACCGGCUAACU
rnacentral:rRNA from 1 species